UCCUACCCAUUCCGAACAGGAAAGUUAAGAUCCAUAGCGCCGAAGGUACUGCACGGGAGACUGUGUGGGAGAUUAGGACGUUGCCAGGU
rnacentral:rRNA from 1 species